GAAGCCUGCAGCAUUGUUGCCAGGAUUCAAGAGACAGUGACAAGGGCAGCGGAUGAGUGCUUCCCUCCUGCCCUCUGCACAUGGCGCCCCCAGGGAACUGCACCGGGCUCCUGCCGUGCUGCUCCAGGCUCACAGCCUCUCCUCAGGGACAUGAUGUUGGGGUGUUUUAACAGAGCACCAUGUUCUCUUUUCGCUCUUGGCCACAGAUGACGUCCGGUUGUUUGCCUUCGUGCGCUUCACCACCGGGGAUGCCAUGAGCAAGAGGUCCAAGUUUGCCCUCAUCACGUGGAUCGGUGAGAACGUCAGCGGGCUGCAGCGCGCCAAAACUGGGACGGACAAGACCCUGGUGAAGGAGGUCGUACAGAAUUUCGCUAAGGAGUUUGUGAUCAGUGAUCAAAAGGAGCUGGAGGAAGAUUUCAUCAAGAGCGAGCUGAAGAAGGCGGGGGGAGCCAAUUACGACGCCCAGACGGAGUAACCCCAGCCCCCCCCCACACCGCCCCUUGCCAAAGUCAUCUGCCUGCUCCCCGGGGGAGAGGACCGCCGGCCUCAGCUACUAGCCCACCAGCCCACCAGGGAGAAAAGAAGCCAUGAGAGGCAGCGCCCGCCACCCUGUGUCCGCAGCCCCCGCCUUCCUGCUUCCCUUAGAACCCUGCUGUGUCCUAUCUCAUGACGCUCAUGGAACCUCUUUCUUUGAUCUUUUUCUUUUCUCCCCCUCUUUUUUGUUCUAAAGAAAAACCAUUUUGAUGCAAGGUCCUGCCUGCCAUCAGA
rnacentral:sRNA from 1 species